ensembl:lncRNA
UGUGGAGAGGGGUGGCGGGGUCGCCAUCUUUCUGUGAGGAGUGCAGAGCUGGAGGAUUUCUACGUAUAGUCUGUACUGUAAUGGGGCAAAAAAGGGCUUACCUACCUUGUUGGAAGGCAUGUUUCUGCUCUCCAGAUCGCAUCUUUUACUAGUGGUUCACAAAAGGUCUACCUUUGUAUAGCACACACUUGAAUGACACAUCAUGGCAUCUUUGCUUUGUCUCAAGUCUCCAUCCAGGCAUGCAUUCAGGUCCAGCCAUAUAUUCUGCUGUUCAUCAGGGAAAAAAAAAAAAAAGAUAGAAAAAAAAAAAGUAAACCACCCAAAAAAGUUGCUAUUUCUGUGUUAGAGCAAUAACACAGAUAAGUUAUUAUUCCUUUCGCCGUGCUCUUAGCUGACAUUGGAUAAUCCUCUUUUCCAAUCCUGAGCACCCUGAAGAAGCUCUUUUCCGAGCCCAGCAGUAGCCAAGCACAAGCUUCUAGCCCAGGAGGAAGGAGGGCACUGCUGGGAGGUGAGUCUGGGGCAGGAGUAGCCUCUGUCCCCUCGAGUGGCUGCGGGGCCAGACCCGUUCGGGCAGAAGCGGCCCCUCACCCUGUGUGCUCUCUACUAUUGGCUGCAGUGAUAAUCAAAGGGUGCUGAGCAACGCACAGCUUCCCCUACCUGUUCUUUCUCUGCUUUCAUCUCUCUAUUUUCACCCUACUUUGCUUUACUUCUCCUUUCCUUUUCUAGACUUGUUUAAACAUGUUCACUAACCGUUUUCUGCUUUUUAAAAAUGCCAUUAUUUUAAUACUUGCCUGUUUCUGCUUUUUGCCUGCCUUUUCAGCGGUGUUUCUUAUUUAUUUUUACGUGUAG